GACGAACGCUGGCGGCGUGCUUAACACAUGCAAGUCGAACGAAAAGAGGGAAAGAGCUUGCCCUUUCCGGAAUUGAGUGGCAAACGGGUGAGUAACACGUAAACAACCUGCCUUCAGGAUGGGGACAACAGACGGAAACGACUGCUAAUACCGAAUAAGUUCCAAGGGCCGCAUGGCCCAUGGAAGAAAAGGUGGCCUCUACCUGUAAGCUAUCGCCUGAAGAGGGGUUUGCGUCUGAUUAGCUGGUUGGAGGGGUAACGGCCCACCAAGGCGACGAUCAGUAGCCGGUCUGAGAGGAUGAACGGCCACACUGGAACUGAGACACGGUCCAGACUCCUACGGGAGGCAGCAGUGGGGAAUCUUCCGCAAUGGGCGAAAGCCUGACGGAGCAACGCCGCGUGAGUGAUGACGGCCUUCGGGUUGUAAAACUCUGUGAUCCGGGACGAAAAGGCAGAGUGCGAAGAACAAACUGCAUUGACGGUACCGGAAAAGCAAGCCACGGCUAACUACGUG
rnacentral:rRNA from 1 species